UAGCUCUCUCUUUCCCUCCACUUGCUUUAAUAUCUCUCUCUGUCACUCUCUCUCUCUCUCUCACCAGGGGUUGAUUUAAUGCCCAGUUGAAUUAUGGGAUGCUUCCCAACACAAGGUGGCCGAUGGGAGGCUUUAAGAUGGAGGACGUUCUUCUCUCUUAAGACGAGCUGAACUUCUCCAAGGCGCCGUGGAGGGUCUUCAGGUCUUCUCUCAUCUGGCUCAGGCUGUUCCGGAUCUUCGCGGGCUGGUCCAGAACCUCCACGCUGCAGGUGAAGGGGUCGUAGCGGACCGCGAAGGGACGCUUGAUGGUUGCAGAGUAUCUCCUGCGGAAUGUGAGAUAAUUUAAGGGAAGGCGGACACCUCCCUCAGCUGAGGGAUGCGCUCCUCCCCGUAGCCCGACUCCUUCUCCAGCUGCUGCAGCCCGUCCAGAAACUGUCUGCAGGCCAGGCCGGGGUAAAUGCUCCUCAGCUGCUGGUACACCUCCCUCCUUUGAAACGUAACCACACAUCACUGUACCUUCAUCAUCAUCAUCCCCCAGCAUGCACUCUGCCUCUCUUAAACGUUCAGCUCUUCCUCACCAUGUGGCCACUUCUUCUGCCGUGUAGUCCACCGUGGGCAGCGGCUCCCCCCUGUGACAAAGACCCUUUAGAGAACGUCUGAAUGGCACUCUUUGUGUUUUUGGGAGAAGACGGAUGAACGUCUGACUCACUGUUUGUACGUGGAGGCCAGUUCCGAGAUGAAAGCCCGUCUCUUUCUGUAUUCUGGAUCGCUGUAUCC